UGGGGAAUCUUGGACAAUGGGGGCAACCCUGAUCCAGCCAUGCCGCGUGAGUGAUGAAGGCCUUAGGGUCGUAAAGCUCUUUCGCUUGUGAAGAUAAUGACGGUAGCAGGUAAAGAAACCCCGGCUAACUCCGUGCCAGCAGCCGCGGUAAUACGGAGGGGGUUAGCGUUGUUCGGAAUUACUGGGCGUAAAGCGCACGUAGGCGGACCAGAAAGUUGGGGGUGAAAUCCCGGGGGCUCAACCCCGGAACUGCCUCCAAAACUAUUGGUCUAGAGUUCGAGAGAGGUGAGUGGAAUUCCAAGUGUAGAGGUGAAAAUUCGUAGAUAUUUGGAGGAACACCAGUGGCGAAGGCGGCUCACUGGCUCGAUACUGACGCUGAGGUGCGAAAAGUGUGGGGAGCAAAACAGGAUUAGAUACCCUGGUAGUCCACACCGUAAAACGAUGAAUGCCAGUCGUCGGGUAGCAUGCUAUUCGGUGACACACCUAACGGAUUAAGCAUUCCGCCUGGGGAGUACGGUCGCAA
rnacentral:rRNA from 1 species